rnacentral:rRNA from 1 species
UACGUAGGGUGCAAGCGUUAAUCGGAAUUACUGGGCGUAAAGCGUGCGCAGGCGGUUUUGUAAGUCUGACGUGAAAUCCCCGGGCUCAACCUGGGAAUUGCGUUGGAGACUGCAAGGCUGGAGUCUGGCAGAGGGGGGUAGAAUUCCACGUGUAGCAGUGAAAUGCGUAGAGAUGUGGAGGAACACCGAUGGUGAAGGCAGCCCCCUGGGUCAAGACUGACGCUCAUGCACGAAAGCGUGGGGAGCAAACAGG